AUACGUAGGGGGCGAGCGUUGUCCGGAAUGAUUGGGCGUAAAGGGCGCGUAGGCGGCGCGGUAAGUCUGGAGUGAAAGUCCUGCUUUCAAGGUGGGAAUUGCUUUGGAUACUGCCGCGCUUGAGUGCAGGAGAGGUUAUCGGAAUUCCCGGUGUAGCGGUGAAAUGCGUAGAGAUCGGGAGGAACACCAGUGGCGAAGGCGGGUAACUGGACUGCAACUGACGCUGAGGCGCGAAAGUGUGGGGAGCAAACGGGAUUAGAUACCCUGGUAGUCCACACUGUAAACGAUGAAUGCUAGGUGUAAGAGGUAUCGACCCCUUUUGUGCCGGAGUCAACACAAUAAGCAUUCCGCCUGGGGAGUACGGCCGCAAGGUUGAAACUCAAAGGAAUCGACGGGG
rnacentral:rRNA from 1 species